rnacentral:lncRNA from 1 species
UUCAGCUGGGAUUUUAAUCAUUUAUACUUCUGACUUUCAUUUCCUCACCUCAGGGCAUCAGCUGUCAUCAGGAGCCCAGAGCAGAAGAGAUCUUUCCAAGGUCGUUACAGACUGUGGGGGAAUUGCAGCUAAAGCCAUUGAGCUUAAUGGGAAUUAGUCAUGCGUCCUUGAUUGUUCAGAUGUUGGAAGAGGGACCUGAAUAACUCACUGAGGUGGUUAUCUUGCCUAUCACUGUGGUAUCUGAGUGCCCAGCAAUCUUAUCUGAAAGGUAACAAAUUUUUUCCCCCCGUAAAAAACAAUGUACCCUGCAUGUAUUUAUCAU